UACAGAGGUCUCAAGCGUUGUCCGGAAUCAUUGGGCGUAAAGGGCGCGUAGGUGGCUUCUUAAGCGUGCGGUGAAAGCCCCGGGCUCAACCCGGGAGGGUCGCGGCGAACUGGGAGGCUUGAGGCCGGUAGAGGUGGGUGGAACUCCUGGUGGAGUGGUGAAAUGCGUAGAGAUCAGGAAGAACACCCGUGGCGAAGGCGGCCCACUGGGCCGGUGCUGACGCUGAGGCGCGAAGGCGUGGGGAGCGAACGGG
rnacentral:rRNA from 1 species